rnacentral:rRNA from 1 species
UACGUAGGGCGCAAGCGUUGUCCGGAAUUAUUGGGCGUAAAGAGCUCGUAGGCGGCCAGUUGCGUCUGCUGUGAAAUCCCGGGGCUCAACCCCGGGCGUGCAGUGGAUACGGGCUGGCUAGAGGCAGGCAGGGGAGAACGGAAUUCCCGUUGUAGCGGUGAAAUGCGCAGAUAUCGGGAGGAACACCGGUGGCGAAGGCGGUUCUCUGGGCCUGUACUGACGCUGAGGAGCGAAAGCGUGGGGAGCGAACAGG